rnacentral:sRNA from 1 species
GGGAGAGCCUGCGACUGCUGGGCAACACCUUUGUGGCACUGUCUGACCUGCGCUGCAAUCUGGCCUGCGCGCCCCCACGACACCUGCAUGUGGUGCGGCCUAUGUCUCACUACACCACCCCCAUGGUGCUCCAGCAGGCGGCCAUUCAUCAAUGUGGGAACCACUGUGACCAUGACAGGAAAUGGGACUCGGCCCCCCCCAACUCCCAAUGCAGAGGCACCUCCCCCUGGUCCUGGGCAGGCCUCAUCCGUGGCUCCGUCUUCUACCAAUGUCGAGUCCUCAGCUGAGGGGGCUCCCCCGCCAGGUCCAGCUCCCCCGCCAGCUACCAGCCACCCGAGGGUCAUCCGGAUUUCCCACCAGAGUGUGGAACCCGUGGUUAUGAUGCACAUGAACAUUCAAGCAGGGCGCCGGUCUGGGUACCAAUGCCUCGUUGGCCCAGAUGGUGAGCGGCCUUGUGGGGCAGCUUCUUAUGCAGCCAGUCCUUGUGGCUCAGGGGACCCCAGGUAUGGCUCCACCGCCAGCCCCUGCCACUGCUUCCGCCAGUGCUGGCACCACCAACACAGCUACCACAGCUGGGCCUGCUCCUGGGGGGCCUGCCCAGCCUCCACCCGCCCCUCAACCCUCCACGGCUGAUCUUCAGUUCUC